UCCACGCCAUCUUCUCCUUCUUCAGACUAAUAAGACAUUAAGAACAUGAAAGACUGACAUAUUGUGCAUGAAGUUCACAGACCCCUGAUGAAGAACAAAUCCUCGUGAUGUGUGAGCUCUAAACGUGGAGAGUGGAGAGAAAACAAAGUGAAAGCACCAUGAACCUUCAGAUGCGAUGGACUCUUCUUAUCUUAUUGUUUCUACACAACACAGAUAUCUCCUGGGCAGACAGCUUCAUCGUUGUCGGUCCUUCUAAGCCCGUCGUCACUUAUGUCGGUGAAUAUGUGGUCCUGCCAGCCUCCCUCUCACCAGC